UACGUAGGGGGCAAGCGUUGUCCGGAAUUAUUGGGCGUAAAGAGCGUGUAGGCGGUCCGGUAAGUCCGCUGUGAAAGUCCAGGGCUCAACCCUGGAAUGCCGGUGGAUGCUGCCGGGCUAGAGUCCGGAAGAGGCGAGUGGAAUUCCUGGUGUAGCGGUGAAAUGCGCAGAUAUCAGGAGGAACACCGAUGGCGAAGGCAGCUCGCUGGGACGGUACUGACGCUGAGACGCGAAAGCGUGGGGAGCAAACAGG
rnacentral:rRNA from 1 species